AUUUGAGCAAACUCCAGCAGAUAGUAGAGGACAGAGGAGACUGUCAUGCUGCAGUCCAUGAGGUCACAAAGAGUCAGACACAACUUAGCAACUGAACGACAACAACUGACACUUGGGGUUGUUUGUCAAAGCAGUUGUCCUAAUAGAUGAGAUAUGGCAGGUUUCUGGGCAGGAUCAGCAACAGAUGGCAGCAGGAUCUCCACGGAAGGAAACAAAGCGCAGUGACCAGAGGGAAAUGGACAGAGUCCAGAUCAGGGUCUCCCAGGUGGCACUAGAAGCCGCAGCCUGACAUUAACUGAGCAUGACAAGAGGGAGAGCGAAGGACUGGGGUUCCCACUGUACUGUAGCCCUUGAAGGCACAGUUUGCACAAUAACGAAUGAGCACCAUAAUAACAAUUCAAUUUUCUGAGAACUGACUAGACCAAAAUGUUCCAUCCACCAGAAGAUACUUUUCUUGGCUGGUCAUGCCCCAUCAUGCUUCCAGUAGAAACGGCUGACAGAAGGCACAGAACCAAGAGCAUCCAGAGCUACAGGAAGUUCCAACACCAGGCUAGAAAGACCUGCUGCAGCAAUCCAUCACCAAAGCAAGGUCAGAAAUUAUCCUGACAGAUCCAAUGCAAUGAGUAGGAUGAAACCCCAAAGAAUUCAACCUGAGGUCAGGACUGGGUUCAAAAGCUCGGUAGCACAAAAUAUUGAAUGAGAAAAACUGACUUCAAAGCAGAAGAUGCUUUCCACUCCCUUCUUUGGAAUGGCAACCAAUCAGAAGGCAGCCUGAUACACUCGAAGGAGUACUGGACCAGUAGGAGCCCCUACUCUGUCCUCACUCCCCGUGAGAUGUGAGUUACUUAGCCUCCCUGGACCUCAGUUUCCUUUCCUAUAAAAUCAGCGGCUUGGACUACUAGACAAUUCUUACAGUGUAUAUUAACUUUAACAUGUAACUCACAUUUUCUCCAAGUCAAGGAGGCGUGGUAAUUUUAGUCGGCUUUAAGUUCAAUAAGAGCUAGUAGCAGUAGAGCAGCAGCCCAGCCAGCCCCUCAAUUGCUGGGCAGACCUCUGUUUAGUCACCAAUUUUGGGGGAAAGGGUACAUUUUGAGGGAUCUACAGGAAAGCUAGAGUCUGCCCAAAGAAAACUCUUCAGAAUUGUGGGAGAUCAUAUUCGAAUUAGGAAAAACUGAGAAACUGGAAAUAUUUAUUCUCAUGAAAACAGCCCUGGAAAGAACUGGAAUAGCUCUCAAGCCAAUAUCUGACAGGUCGCAGCUCAGAAGAGGAAUGCAGUCUGGACAGAGUGGGGCAGCUUGAGCCCAGCGCAUGAACCUGCCAUGGUGGGGCAGGAGGCUGGCCAGGUGAGAGGGGGCAGGCUGCUGCUGGAGGUGCUGGCCUGCGCCCCAGAAACAGCCUUGGGAGGCACAAGAGGAAACCAAAAUACUUCCAAGAUCUCUUAAUGCUGAGACCUGAGGAUUCAAAUUGAGGAAGGAGCAGGAAGGACUGAAGACAAGGCUGCUGGAAAAAUCAGAUGAGCAGGGUAAACUGGUGGUAAUGAGAGAGAGGACCUGGCUGCCUCUGUGAAUGACACAUUCAUCACAGGCAGUGCUGUCAGACCAACUAGCAAGAAGCAUGACCAGUGGACUGCCCCUCACAACCCGGAUGUGGGGUGCCUGGUUAGAGUGGGAGCAAUGAGACAGCAGAGCUCAGUGGCGUCCAGUUUCUGUUGGUUUUAUCUUUUAUCAAUAGAUUGUUGAUCCCCAGAGAGCAAGGAUCUUAUUUAGAUCUUUCUGCUCCCUCAUCGGUUAGCUCCUGGCUCCACUUCAGAUGCUCCACUGGUGUUCAAU
ensembl:lincRNA